rnacentral:rRNA from 1 species
GACGAACGCUGGCGGCGUGCUUAACACAUGCCAGUCGAGCGGAAAGGCCCUUCGGGGUACUCGAGCGGCGAACGGGUGAGUAACACGUGAGUAACCUGCCCCAGACUUUGGGAUAACCCUCGGAAACGGGGGCUAAUACCGGAUACGACACAGCUUCGCAUGGGGUCUGUGUGGAAAGUUUUUCGGUUUGGGAUGGGCUCGCGGCCUAUCAGCUUGUUGGUGGGGUGAUGGCCUACCAAGGCGACGACGGGUAGCCGGCCUGAGAGGGCGACCGGCCACACUGGGACUGAGACACGGCCCAGACUCCUACGGGAGGCAGCAGUGGGGAAUAUUGCACAAUGGGCGGAAGCCUGAUGCAGCGACGCCGCGUGAGGGAUGACGGCCUUCGGGUUGUAAACCUCUUUCAGCAGGGACGAAGCGUAAGUGACGGUACCUGCAGAAGAAGCGCCGGCCAACUACGUA